UAGCCUGCCCAAGAGAUCGGGAUAACACCUGGAAACAGAUGCUAAUACCGGAUAACAACAGAUGAUGCCUAUCAACUGUUUAAAAGAUGGUUCUGCUAUCACUCUUGGAUGGACCUGCGGUGCAUUAGCUAGUUGGUAGGGUAACGGCCUACCAAGGCGAUGAUGCAUAGCCGAGUUGAGAGACUGAUCGGCCACAUUGGGACUGAGACACGGCCCAAACUCCUACGGGAGGCAGCAGCCC
rnacentral:rRNA from 1 species